CCAGACUCCUACGGGAGGCAGCAGUGGGGAAUAUUGCACAAUGGGGGAAACCCUGAUGCAGCGACGCCGCGUGGGCGAGGAAGUACCUCGGUAUGUAAAGCCCUAUCAGCAGGGAAGAAACAGGACAGUACCUGACUAAGAAGCCCCGGCUAACUACGUGCCAGCAGCCGCGGUAAUACGUAGGGGGCAAGCGUUAUCCGGAUUCACUGGGCGUAAAGGGAGCGCAGGCGGCAUGGCAAGUCUGAUGUGAAAACCCGGGGCCCAACCCCGGGAGUGCAUUGGAAACUGCCAGGCUGGAGUGUCGGAGGGGUAAGCGGAAUUCCUAGUGUAGCGGUGAAAUGCGUAGAUAUUAGGAGGAACACCAGUGGCGAAGGCGGCUUACUGGACGACUACUGACGCUGAGGCUCGAAAGCGUGGGGAGCAAACAGGAUUAGAUACCCCAGUA
rnacentral:rRNA from 1 species